rnacentral:rRNA from 1 species
UUGAUGAGUGGCGAACGGGUGAGUAACACGUGAGUAACCUGCCCUCUUCUUUGGGAUAACGGUCGGAAACGGCUGCUAAUACUGGAUAUUCACUUGCUUCCGCAUGGGGGUGGGUGGAAAGGUUUUUCUGGUGGGGGAUGGGCUCGCGGCCUAUCAGCUUGUUGGUGAGGUAGUGGCUUACCAAGGCUUUGACGGGUAGCCGGCCUGAGAGGGUGACCGGUCACAUUGGGACUGAGAUACGGCCCAG